AUUGAACGCUGGCGGCAGGCUUAACACAUGCAAGUCGAGCGGGGUGAGGUGCUUCGGUACUGAUCCUAGCGGCAGACGGGUGAGUAAUGCUUAGGAAUCUGCCUAUUAGUGGGGGACAACAUUCCGAAAGGAAUGCUAAUACCGCAUACGCCCUACGGGGGAAAGCAGGGGAUCUUCGGACCUUGCGCUAAUAGAUGAGCCUAAGUCGGAUUAGCUAGUUGGUGGGGUAAAGGCCUACCGAGGCGACGAUCUGUAGCGGGUCUGAGAGGAUGAUCCGCCACACUGGGACUGAGACACGGCCCAGACUCCUACGGGAGGCAGCAGUGGGGAAUAUUGGACAAUGGGGGGAACCCUGAUCCAGCCAUGCCGCGUGUGUGAAGAAGGCCUUUUGGUUGUAAAGCACUUUAAGCGAGGAGGAGGCUACCGAGAUUAAUACUCUUGGAUAGUGGACGUUACUCGCAGAAUAAGCACCGGCUAACUCUGUGCCAGCCGCCGCCGUAAGAC
rnacentral:rRNA from 1 species